CCUACGGUGGCUGCAGUGGGGAAUAUUGGACAAUGGGCGAAAGCCUGAUCCAGCCAUGCCGCGUGUGUGAAGAAGGCCUUCGGGUUGUAAAGCACUUUCAGUGGGGAAGAAAGCCUUGGGGCUAAUACCCUCGAGGAAGGACAUCACCCACAGAAGAAGCACCGGCUAACUCCGUGCCAGCAGCCGCGGUAAUACGGAGGGUGCGAGCGUUAAUCGGAAUUACUGGGCGUAAAGCGCGCGUAGGCGGUCUGAUAAGCCGGUUGUGAAAGCCCCGGGCUCAACCUGGGAACGGCAUCCGGAACUGUCAGGCUAGAGUGCAGGAGAGGAAGGUAGAAUUCCCGGUGUAGCGGUGAAAUGCGUAGAGAUCGGGAGGAAUACCAGUGGCGAAGGCGGCCUUCUGGACUGACACUGACGCUGAGGUGCGAAAGCGUGGGUAGCAAACAGGAUUAGAUACCCAGUAGUC
rnacentral:rRNA from 1 species